UACGUAGGGUGCAAGCGUUAAUCGGAAUUACUGGGCGUAAAGCGUGCGCAGGCGGUUUUGUAAGUCUGUCGUGAAAUCCCCGGGCUCAACCUGGGAAUGGCGAUGAAGACUGCAAGGCUAGAAUCUGGCAGAGGGGGGUAGAAUUCCACGUGUAGCAGUGAAAUGCGUAGAGAUGUGGAGGAACACCGAUGGCGAAGGCAGCCCCCUGGGUCAAGAUUGACGCUCAUGCACGAAAGCGUGGGGAGCAAACAAGG
rnacentral:rRNA from 1 species